rnacentral:rRNA from 1 species
UACAGAGGUCUCAAGCGUUGUUCGGAUUCAUUGGGCGUAAAGGGCGCGUAGGCUGCAAGGUAAGUCGGGUGUGAAAUCCCCGGGCUCAACCUGGGAAUGGCGUUUGGGACUGGGAGUCUGGAGUGCGGCAGAGGAGACUGGAAUUCCUGGUGUAGCAGUGAAAUGCGUAGAUAUCAGGAGGAACACCGAUGGCGAAGGCAGGUCUCUGGGCUGACACUGACGCUCAUGCACGAAAGCGUGGGGAGCAAACAGG